GUCCUUCUCCGACCGAGCGGCAGAGCUGCGGUGCCGCCCCUUGAUCCUCCCAGUCCCCUAUCUUUCGUACCACCGCUCAGUUGACCCAGCGCCGCUUGCCGUUUCCUUAACGUGAACGAUGUGGAAUAUGGGGGAUCCGGCGGGCGGCCGAUGCUGAUGAACAGAUGCAAUUUUCUAGGAAGAAGAAGAGGAGUCCACGGAUAGAUCAAACGCUAAACUCACCUCAUGCUCUGAACCGGUGAACUGCAACUGCAGAAUCAUGAAAACGUAGGCCAGCAGCUACCAGAGGUCGAAGAGUGCAAUAAGCCACAAAAAGCUAUGCCAAAAAGAAUACUUGAGCUCAUGAAUGUUGAGAAAUUCACUAUGGAAAAUGUUGCAGGUCACCUACAGGCAAGACACUUUAUUUACUUUUUGUGCUGAAAGAAAGCACCGCUCCCACACUGAUUAACCUGGAACAAAUAUACUUCUAAUGUUGAUAUUAAAGCUGGAGUGUGAAAAACAAGUUCGUAUUUUUUCACUGUAAAAACUGCAGUUUCUGGAACAAGAGCCCUGAGACAAGUAAAUGAGUAUUCAGGUAAGAGUUAGAUAAAGGGCCUUUAUGUGUAGCCUAGCACUUCUCUUGACCUCUUAACAAGAUUCAGCAAACAUGAGUAUGGUAAACUAGAAUUUUUUUUGAGGAUUUCACAAGUCUGACCGUCAGAUGACAUACUGUCAGCAAGGUUUGGUCCAGCAAAUGACAUCACGGUAGCAAUAGGUGGCAAAGUGGGAUCCAACUCUUUUGGUGGCACGAUACAUUUGUCGCCAAAUACAGAGCAAAUGUACUGGAGCUUUGGAAGUGGAAAUAGCUUUAGACAGAAGGCGGAUGAAAGUAGUGUAGACAAUCUACUUGGUCCAAACCUUGCACGAAGUUCCUCUAAGCUAGCCAUAAAGCUAAUACACACAUAAUCUCUCUUUUAACUGGCCAACGAGAAAUUGUGAUUCCCUGGGGAGACCAUGCCAAGAACUUUGAUUCUGCUGACCUAUGUAAUGCAUCCUCACAAGAUUCUAUCAUAAUAUUUUUUUUUUGCCAUGAGUGUCAGCAAAUACUGAGGUAACUUACGAUUAUCUAGCUAAUGCCUGCAAAUGAGUUUUCUUCAAGGUCAUGAAUUUUGGUGUGAGUGGUAAACUAGGUGGGUUUCAUGGGAAUAUAUGUUGGUGCUGCUGCAGGUUCUGAAUUUUUUAAGGUGAGCUCAGGAAUUGGAUAGCUCCUGCAGGUCGUGCAUUUCCUAGGUGCGGGUGCCUCCAUUUCCAUAAUCUGACAGAUAUGAUUAAUCUUACAUGGAUGUUGGUGUAUAUAUGGUCUUGGAAGAGUGAGAUACAAAGUACUUUUAUUGCAUUUUUCCCCUCAGAAAUGGUGAAUAUACUCAAACGAUCACAAAUGAACUUUAUAAUUUAGUUUGUACUUUUUUAAAAAGCAACCUAUAUCUAUAGAGGGGCCUUCCAAUCAUCAAUAUAGAGUUUCUUCCAAGUGCUUGGUUGUUCUGAUCAUGUCAGUGGUGGAACUCCGAUAUGAUUUUAAUUCCAUGACUCACGAGGCGUUCUCUUCAGAAGUUAUGUGCGAGUGCAACAAGUUUAGGCC